GCGAUCCCAGGUCAGGCGGGGCUACCCGCUGAGUUUAAGCAUAUCAAUAAGCGGAGGAAAAGAAACUAACGAGGAUUCCCUUAGUAGCGGCGAGCGAACCGGGAAGAGCCCAGCGUGAAAAUCGUCCGCCAUCGGCGGCCGAAUUGUAGUCUGGAGAAGCGUCCU
rnacentral:rRNA from 1 species